CACACUGGACUCCCCAUGGGGAGCCUGCUUCUCCCUCCGCCUAUGUCUCUGGCCCCCUCUCUCUGUGUGUCUCUCAUGAAUAAUAAAAUAUUUUUUUAAAAACUUUUUUUAAUUCAUAAGUGAUACAUGUUUGUUGGGAAAAUAAAGGUUCCACUAUUCACUAUUCUCGGGAGGCCCCGAGGUCAGGAAGAGCUGCUGCCCUGGGGAUUGUGAGGAGUGACCGAUUACAUACUUGGGAGUUGGGGGAGAAGGAAGACGGAGGUUUUCAAAAGAACUUUCUUAUGCUGAAGAGGACCUUUGAGAUACUACAGGCCUUGUCAUUGUCAAGUUAAGGGUGUUUUCCCCUUUAGCAAGGUAUUUACUUUAACAGAGUUGGAAGGCACCUGGGUGGCUCAGUGGUUGAACGGCUGCCUUUGCUUCAGGGCGUGAUCCCAGGGUCCUGAGGUCGAGUCCCACGUCUGGCUCCGCACAGGGAUCCUGCUUCUCCCUCUGCCUAUCUCUGCCUCUCUCCGUGUGUCUCUCAUGAAUAAAUAAAUAAAAUAUUUAAAAGAACUCAUGGACGUAUAAUUGCAGAAUAUCAUUUAUCUUUACUUAAUAUAUUCCAUAGUGUUGGCCAAGAGUUACCAUGGAGGGAGGAGCAUUACAUUCUGUCCACUUCAAGUAUCUACCAAUGGGCUGCAGGUUAUAAUUGUAUCUACAUUUCCUUUUGGAAGCUAAGUUACUGAUAAAAAUUGCUUUUUUUCUUUUAGAUUACCAAGACAUUUGUAAAUUGAGGGAGACUUAUGUCUUGCAGGACUGUGAUUUCUAUAAGUUAACUAUUUGUUUUUCCUUUCCUUACCUUCAGGGCAGCCAGGAGUUAAUGAGGAAUGUCACACAUAUCCCACCUUGGGGGGGCGGGAGUUGUGGGGUGUCAACUUCUCCUUUUUCCUCAGCUAGCCUUCUGUUUCCUCAUCAAUAAUAAGCUAGAAAUCUAUCGUAGCAAUCCAGGAGCGCUAGGCUACGGGCCCAAAUGAAGGCAGAGACCACAGGCAAGGGGCAAAAAAAGACUUGUGAGAUAUUUGAGGGGGAGUAUCAAUAGGACUUUGGGAAGUAGCCCUUUCCAGGGGUGAGCGAGGAGGAGGAGAAGCUGCUGAAAGCUCUAAAGUGUCAGAUUUGGCUGAGUGAAUGAUGCCUUUUCACAUGAGAAGUAUCAGAACUGGAGGGAAGACCAUGAGUUCAGGGAUUUGAGGAUGACAAAGUAGAAGGAGAAGACUAAUCAGUGCCACCGAGGGCUAGCUGAGGACAAAGCACAAGCUGAUAGCCCACAAAUGACCCCCCCCCCCCCCAGGAUAGGAUAUGGGUGACAUUCCUCAGGAAGUUUCCAACUGUCUUAAUAUCUUGCUAGAGGGACAAGCAAUCUUUGACUUGACAAUGGCAAGGCCUCCACUAUCUCAUUGGGGAGGAGGACGUCUUGAAGUGGGCGAGCUAGACUCUUGUCUCAUGGAGUCGAAGAAUGAAUCUCACAGACAAAGCUUCUUUGCAGGAAAGAGAGUGCAACUUAGAUGGAGAAACUGAAGAGGCAUUAAUGAAAGGACACCCUCCAGAGCUGUGAGCAGAUAUGAGGAAGCCAACAAGGGAUACUGAUGUCAGCCAAGGACGUGUGGCUGGAUUUGGAGAGGGGACCAUUCAUUCUGUCCAGCCCUGGCCCUGGAGCCCAGCAGAGCUCUCGUGUUUCAAUGGCUGUAAACCCUGGAAGAUUCAGAGGAUCUGGGGCAUGGACACUGGAAGGCUUGUGCCACUUUGUGGGGAGACGACUUUGCCACAACCAGGAGCAUGAGCAAGAGAGGAAGGACAGGGCGGAUCCAUGUGGUGGUGCAGCUGGUGGUCCUGUGUGUAGAUUUGCAAGAGGAAGGCUUCCUGGCCCUCAGGUCUGUGGGCUGGAGCAAUAAUAAUAAGUUGCUUAAUAAAAAUAUGACAUGACAUUUUUCUAUAACCAAA